AUUGAACGCUGGCGGCAGGCCUAACACAUGCAAGUCGAGCGGGGUUUUCGGACCUAGCGGCGGACGGGUGAGCAAUGCGUAGGAAGCUACCCGAUAGAGGGGGAUACCAGUUGGAAACGACUGUUAAUACCGCAUAAUGUCUACGGACCAAAGUGUGGGACCUUCGGGCCACAUGCUAUCGGAUGCGCCUACGUGGGAUUAGCUAGUUGGUGGGGUAAUGGCUCACCAAGGCGACGAUCCCUAGCUGGUUUGAGAGGAUGAUCAGCCACACUGGAACUGGGACACGGUCCAGACUCCUACGGGAGGCAGCAGUGGGGAAUAUUGGACAAUGGGCGCAAGCCUGAUCCAGCCAUGCCGCGUGUGUGAAGAAGGCCUUCGGGUUGUAAAGCACUUUCAGUAGGGAGGAAGGGUGUUGUGUUAAUAGCACAGCAUUUUGACGUUACUCGCAGAAGAAGCACCGGCUAACUCUGUGCCAGCCGCCGCCGUAACAC
rnacentral:rRNA from 1 species